GCUCGAAUGAGCUUCGCCGGUCGCGGGGAACGGGCUUCAAACCCGUUGGUGGUUGACGCCACAGCAGUUCGACUCUGCCUUUCGAGC
rnacentral:tRNA from 1 species